UAUUGGAUCAGAGCUUACCUGGAG
rnacentral:misc_RNA from 1 species